ACCCGGGUGGUGGAACUGGUAGACACGCCGGACUUAAAAUCCUGUGAUCUGCAAAGGUCGUACGGGUUCAACUCCCGUCCCGGGUA
rfam:Flavihumibacter petaseus NBRC 106054 DNA, contig: FPE01S02.